UCCUUAUUGACUUUGGGAUGUUUACAAACCCAAGUGAAAUGUUUAAGCCUCCAUUUUUGCUUCUGUAAAAUGAGAUUGGUGAGAAAACUCGCCUCCUAGGUCUCCUCUGGAUUCAGGGUUAUAUGAGGUAAUGUGAAACUUAAAAGAGCUGUAUGAAAGCACUUGGUAAACUGUAAAAGCACAAGCAAAGUUAACUUACUAAACGUUACUAGAAAAAGAACAUGUAAUAUCUUUCUUACAGCACCCUGGAAAUCAACAAUUACCGCACACAGUAAAAUCUGAAGAGAGUAACAAGAACAUAUCACUACAGAGAACUAAGGAUUGGUCUUAAAAGACAGUACCCUCUCAUAAAUCCCCAAUAUUAGACAAUAUUCCUGCCUACUCGCAAACCAUUUGCCAAGCGACUGCUGCAAAAUAUCCUCGGACCAUUCAUCCUGAGAGUAGUACUUCGGCUUCCAGAUCUCUCAGAACCAGAUCGGCCCAUACCCAGUCUUUCAUAAGCAGUCAGUCUGUGCAAGUGGUUGAUUGAUGUGAAUACACUCACAAUGAGGUCUUUUUAACUCCUCUGGUUUUACCAAGGGUUGGAAGUCUUUAGUUUUUCAACAUUUCCAUGUUGUUAAAACAUCGUGGAUAUAUCAUGUUCAUCUUGUCAAAAUUACAAGAGACUGUUUCAAGCUGUAACAUCCUUUGUAACUAUAUGUAGAGAUUAAUGCUAUUUUUUAUUUAAGCGAUUAAGUAAAACGUUUUAAUUAAAAAAGAAAAUUUUAAUAUGUGCAGUCUGUCAUUGAUUAUAUCAUCAAAAGUAUAUAAAUCCUAUUUCCUGUACAUUAUUUCUAAAAG
rnacentral:lncRNA from 1 species